AGAUUGAACGCUGGCGGCAUGCUUUACACAUGCAAGUCGAACGGUAACAGGCCGCAAGGUGCUGACGAGUGGCGAACGGGUGAGUAAUGCAUCGGAACGUGCCCAGUCGUGGGGGAUAACGCAGCGAAAGCUGUGCUAAUACCGCAUACGAUCUAUGGAUGAAAGCGGGGGACCGAAAGGCCUCGCGCGAUUGGAGCGGCCGAUGUCAGAUUAGCUAGUUGGUGGGGUAAAGGCCCACCAAGGCGACGAUCUGUAGCUGGUCUGAGAGGACGACCAGCCACACUGGAACUGAGACACGGUCCAGACCUCCGUACGGGA
rnacentral:rRNA from 1 species